rnacentral:rRNA from 1 species
GACGAACGCUGGCGGCGUGCUUAACACGUGCAAGUCGAACGGAAAGGCCCUGCUUUUGUGGGGUGCUCGAGUGGCGAACGGGUGAGUAACACGUGAGUAACCUGCCCUUGACUUUGGGAUAACUUCAGGAAACUGGGGCUAAUACCGGAUAGGAGCUCCUGCUGCAUGGUGGGGGUUGGAAAGUUUCGGCGGUUGGGGAUGGACUCGCGGCUUAUCAGCUUGUUGGUGGGGUAGUGGCUUACCAAGGCUUUGACGGGUAGCCGGCCUGAGAGGGUGACCGGCCACAAUGGGACUGAGAGACGGCCCAGACUCCUACGGGAGGCAGCAGUGGGGAAUAUUGCACAAUGGGCGGAAGCCUGAUGCAGCAACGCCGCGUGCGGGAUGACGGCCUUCGGGUUGUAAACCGCUUUCGCCUGUGACGAAGCGUGAGUGACGGUAAUGGGUAAAGAAGCACCGGCUAACUACGUG